rnacentral:rRNA from 1 species
CGGCGAGUGAAGCGGCAAGAGCUCAAAUUUGAAAGCUGGCUCCUUCGGGGUCCGCAUUGUAAUUUGCAGAGGAUGCUUCGGGUGCGGCCCCUGUCUAAGUGCCCUGGAACGGGCCGUCAGAGAGGGUGAGAAUCCCGUCUGGGAUGGGGUGUCCGCGCCCGUGUGAAGCUCCUUCGACGAGUCGAGUUGUUUGGGAAUGCAGCUCUAAUGGGUGGUAAAUUUCAUCUAAAGCUAAAUACUGGCCGGAGACCGAUAGCGCACAAGUAGAGUGAUCGAAAGAUGAAAAGCACUUUGAAAAGAGAGUUAAAAAGCACGUGAAAUUGUUGAAAGGGAAGCGCUUGCGACCAGACUCGCCUCCAGGGUUCAGCCGGCAUUCGUGCCGGUGUACUUCCCUGGGGGCGGGCCAGCGUCGGUUGGGCGGCCGGUCAAAGGCUCCCGGAAUGUAGUGCCCUCCGGGGCACCUUAUAGCCGGGAGUGCAAUGCGGCCAGCCUGGACCGAGGAACGCGCUUCGGCACGGACGCUGGCAUAAUGGUCGUAAACGACCCGU